UAGUUAAGCCAGAGCCAGCAGUCACUUAAUUUGGAAAGAGAGCUAAAAUACUGAAGUCAGUGCCAAAAACUCCCAUGUUAAAAUGCCUAACUUUGCAGCAUGAAAAGCACAUUUACAGCCUGGUACAAACAGUUUGGCACUUUAUGGAUAGUUUAACACAUCAUAACAACUCUCAGGAGGGUAAUUUUUUUUUUUUUUUAUAACUUAUCCACCUGGACACUGAAGCUAGGAGCUUGGCUGGUUUGACAGGCAGAUGCCUCAACACCUGGCAGCUGUGGUGGAUCAUCUAAUUAGCAGCCUCACCUUUGCUAAUUAGUGUCACUAAAGUAAAACUUUCUACUUUGUCUGCACUGUUGGUGUCUUUUGGAGCGAUUUUGGGGAAUAAUCUGACGCUCUUUGGCUUGCUUGCUCUUUGGUGCAUCCUUGUGCUUCAGUUUAGGGCUUCUACAGCAUCCUCCCGUGUUGCAGAGGUUCCAAGUACCUGGAAACACUUUUCUGAGAAUUGAUCCAUAUGGACAUGACAGCAUCACACAGCUGCUGCAGAUGUGUCAGCUGUACAUCCAUGAUGCAAAUCUCCCGUCCCAGCACAAAGACGCUCUAUUGGAUUGAGAUCUGGUGACUCUGGAGGUCAUGUAAGUACGGUGAACUCAACAUCAUGUUUAGGAAACCAGUUUGACCUGAUGCGAGCUCUGUCACAUGAUGUAUUCUUUUACAGGAAGCAACCAUUAGAAGAUGGGUACACUUUGGUCAUACAGGGAUGGACAUGGUCACUGACAAUACUCAGGUAGACUGGGCUCUUUAGUAGCAGCUGAGCAUCAUUUAAACAGCACAAAGUGUACCAAGAAAUUAUCCUCUGCACUGUUAUGACACCACAAGCACCCUGAACUGUUGCUACAUGACGUUUCAUGUUUUUACACGAAAUUUUGAUACUUGCAGCAAGUUUUUUUUAUGCCUGGUCCCAUCAGACCUGAUUAGAGCCAUGCAUUAACAAACAGCUGAACAGAUGCAUCUAAUAAAGUGGCCAGUGAAUGUCAGGUAGAGCAUAUUCAAUCUUUGUUUUGUUUUUUACCUGUGGCUUUGAAAUCUAACUACAGAAAAGACCAGUCUCACUUAUACAACUACAUAAAAGCAUCUUUCAGCUCCUCAUUCACAAGGGGUCGCCACAGGGGGAAGCUCUGCAUAUUUGAUUUAGCAGAUUUUUAUGUUGCGUGGCCUUCCUGAUGCAACUUCCAAGGGAUCUGUGUCUCCUGCUGGAAUCCUUUGCUUUGUAGGCAAAAGUGUACAACUCAUAACUAAUUUACUAAAUUACCUGGGUGCUUUAGAUCAGUUUCUGAUAGUGUGCCUGAAAUAAACCACUUUUUUUUUAGGUUUACAGUAACGAUGGAGACCGUGCAACAGCUUGAUUCAUUUAUGAGUCACGUUUAAAGUG